rnacentral:rRNA from 1 species
UGCCAGCCGCCGCGGUAAUACGGAGGGGGUUAGCGUUGUUCGGAAUUACUGGGCGUAAAGCGUACGUAGGCGGUCUGGUAAGUCAGAGGUGAAAUCCUGCAGCUCAACUGUAGCAUUGCCUUUGAUACUGCCAGACUUGAGUUAUUGUGAAGUUGUUAGAAUGUGUAGUGUAGCGGUGAAAUGCAUAGAUAUUACACAGAAUACCGAUUGCGAAAGCAGAUUACUAACAAUAUACUGACGCUGAGGGACGAAAGCGUGGGUAGCGAACAGGAUUAGAUA